rnacentral:rRNA from 1 species
GCGAACGUUGGCGAUGCGUCUUAAGCAUGCAAGUCGAGCGGGCUUAUUCGGGCAACUGGAUAAGUUAGCGGCGAACUGGUGAGUAACACGUAGGUAAUCUGCCGUGAAGUGGGGGAUAACCCAUGGAAACAUGGACUAAUACCGCAUAUACUCUUGCUACAUAAGUAGAGUAGAGGAAAGUUUUUUCGCUUCACGAUGAGCCUGCGGCCUAUUAGCCUGUUGGUAGGGUAAUGGCCUACCAAAGCUACGAUAGGUAGCCGACCUGAGAGGGUGACCGGCCACAUUGGGACUGAGAUACGGCCCAGACUCCUACGGGAGGCAGCAGCUGAGAAUCUUCCACAAUGGACGAAAGUCUGAUGGAGCGACAUCGCGUGAGGGAUGAAGGCCUUCGGGUUGUAAACCUCGGAAAUUAUCGAAGAAUGAGUGACAGUAGAUAAUGUAAGCCUCGGCUAACUACGUGCCAGCAGCCGCGGUAAUACGUAGGAGGCAAACGUUGCUCGGAUUUACUGGGCGUAAAGGGUGAGUAGGCGGAUUUAUAAGUCUAAGGUGAAAGACCGAAGCUCAACUUCGGGAACGCCUCGGAUACUGUAAGUCUUGGAUAUUGUAGGGGAUGAUGGAAUUCUCGGUGUAGCGGUGGAAUGCGCAGAUAUCGAGAGGAACACCUAUAGCGAAGGCAGUCAUCUGGGCAUUUAUCGACGCUGAAUCACGAAAGCUAGGGGAGCAAACAGGCUUAGAUACCCUGGUAGUCCUAGCCGUAAACGUUGUACACUAGGUGCUUCUAUUUAAAUAGGAGUGCCGUAGCUAACGUCUUAAGUGUACCGCCUGAGGAGUAUGCCCGCAAGGGUGAAACUCAAAGAAAUUGACGGGUCCCCGCACAAGUGGUGGAGCAUGUGGUUUAAUUCGAUGAUACGCGAAAAACCUUACCUGGGUUUGAAUUGUUAGAUGAAUGAUUUAGAGAUAAGUCAGACCGCAAGGACGUUUAACAUAGGUGCUGCAUGGCUGUCGUCAGCUCGUGUCGUGAGAUGUUGGGUUAAGUCCCGCAACGAGCGCAACCCUCACCCUCUGUUGCUACCGAGUAAUGUCGAGCACUCUUAGGGGACUGCCUACGUUCAAGUAGGAGGAAGGUGGGGAUGAAUGUCAAGUCCUCAUGGCCCUUAUGUCCAGGGCUACACACGUGCUACAAUGGCAAGUACAAAGAGAAGCAAGACCGCGAGGUGGAGCAAAACUCAAAAAAGUUGCCUCAGUUCGGAUUGGAGUCUGAAACUCGACUCCAUGAAGUUGGAAUCACUAGUAAUCGUAGAUCAGAACGCUACGGUGAAUACGUUCCCGGGGAUUGUACACACCGCCCGUCACGCCAUCGGAGUUGGUUUUACCUGAAGCCGUUAGCCUAACCGCAAGGAGGGCGGCGUCGAAGGUGGA